rnacentral:rRNA from 1 species
ACUUCCUUCGGGAAGUGCAUAAAGUGGCGCACGGGUGAGUAACACGUAAGUAAUCUACCUUCGAGUGGGGAAUAACGUCCGGAAACGGACGCUAAUACCGCAUAAUGCAGCGGCAUCGUAAGAUGACAGUUGUUAAAGGAGCAAUUCGCUUGAAGAGGAGCUUGCGGCAGAUUAGCUAGUUGGUAAGGUAAUGGCUUACCAAGGCUACGAUCUGUAACCGGUCUAAGAGGACGGUCGGUCACACUGACACUGAAUAACGGGUCAGACUCCUACGGGAGGCAGCAGUCGGGAAUUUUGGGCAAUGGGCGAAAGCCUGACCCAGCAACGCCGCGUGAAGGAUGAAGUAUUUCGGUAAGUAAACUUCGAAAGAAUAGGAAGAAUUAAUGACGGUACUAUUUAUAAGGUCCGGCUAACUACGUGCCAGCAGCCGCGGUAAUACGUAGGGACCAAGCGUUGUUCGGAUUUACUGGGCGUAAAGGGCGCGUAGGCGGCAUGACAAGUCACUUGUGAAAUCUCCGGGCUUAACUCGGAACGGUCAAGUGAUACUGUCGCGCUAGAGUGCGGAAGGGGCAAUCAGAAUUCUUGGUGUAGCGGUGAAAUGCGUAGAUAUCAAGAGGAAUACCUGAGGUGAAGACGGGUUGCUAGGCCGACACUGACGCUGAAGCGCGAAAGCCAGGGGAGCAAACGGGAUUAGAUACCCCGGUAGUCCUGGCCCUAAACGAUGAAUACUUGGUGUCUGGAGUUUUUAGUGCUCCGGGUGCCGUCGCUAACGUUUUUAGUAUUCCGCCUGGGGAGUACGCUCGCAAGAGUGAAACUCAAAGGAAUUGAC